UACGGAGGGUGCAAGCGUUAUUCGGAAUUACUGGGCUUAAAGGGUGCGUAGGCGGUGUAGCAAGUCGGGAGUGAAAUACCCCAGCUUAACUGAGGAAUUGCUUUCGAUACUGCUGCGCUUGAGUGAGACAGAGGUAAGCGGAACUUAGGGUGGAGCGGUGAAAUGCGUUGAUAUCCUAAGGAACACCGGUGGCGAAGGCGGCUUACUGGGUCUCAACUGACGCUGAGGCACGAAAGCUAGGGUAGCAAACGGG
rnacentral:rRNA from 1 species